rnacentral:lncRNA from 1 species
AGGGAUUAAAGGGUGUGGUCACUUUGUCAACGUCAAAGAAACUCCCUAAUACGAAUAAGAUCGAGUCAAUUGCAAUAGCGAGCUCGACGUUCCCAACACGCGGUUUGACGCAGUCGACGUCGGACUCUUAAUACGACGUGGUGAUAUUUGUGGACCAAGAAGCGAGUUGGUGUUUGUCAUGGGGUGGAUUCCAAGCAGUGGGGGGGAUGCGAGUCUCGACUGUAUUAGAAUACUAUGUAUCGAAUCAUGGACUACACGUCUGACUCCAUCACCGCUUAUAUGGUGAGCCACACCAUUAACAAAGCUUCUUUUGAGUCUCGGACUUGCAGGCAAAUAAGAAGGCAUGGGUUGCUGCUGCUUCUGAGAUCUGUAGUCGAACGCCCAAAGAGUUUACAUGCUGGAAUGAAUGACCUCCUUGACGCCAGAGUGUUUUCUUCUCUUCCUUUGGCUGAGAUGAUGAAGUGUUUGAGCUGCAGUUGUGGGAGUGGUUUCUCUUCCUUCCUCUGAGAUGUAAGAAGGAAGAAGCAAUCCCACCGACAGAUGCCUUAAUUCUUCUGUGUUCGAAGUCGGGUGGACGAGAAACUGGUUCAAAGAACAUGUUCGACCGACGAUUACUCGUGAAGAGAAGAGCCGUAGCUUUCUUUGGAGAAGUCCACGCACGCGUCAGACAGUAGGACUUGACUCGGUCAGACACGUCUCCCACGACUUCUAUGCUCUUUCCCGCUUUGUUCUCUUUUCAUUUUCUUGUUUCAGGUGGCUGCCGUGUUCUCGCAUUGAAUAGUUUUGGCUGCCGCUAAAGUCUCCACUGCCAUUUCACACACUCCGUCGGUGAUUCCAAGCGGUGGAGUUGAACGCAGAUGCUUCCGCUAGACGUCCGUCAAAGCUGAAAGCAAAACAACAACAUACAUGAAGGAAGCAGUUGAAGCCAGCACGGCCAAACGCAGGACUUUUCCCAUCCUUCUUCCUCUUCAAAGCGAGUGGAAGGCCCUCACACGACCAGUGUAAUCAGCUCAUGUUGAAGAAUGUUGCUCAGAUCACGACCAGUGUCCACAGAUUAUAGCAAUUCAAGAACACAUGUGAUGACUCAACGCAAAUCACCAGUAUUAAAUACUGCAAGAUUUCCUGGUACCUUCCUUUUUCGUCACAUGGUGUAGCACUUUAUCGUCCUGCCGAUGAUCUGUCUUUGACUUUUCAUAAAUGUCAAAAUAUUGGAAACCUGCUUCGGCCAGCACGCGACGGGAACACAUGAUAAAGAAAACAAGGGUACAGAUGGAUGAGAUCAAGUGGACUCCUCCUGUAUCUUAUUGUUCUUCUUCCUUGAGUUGAUAUCAUGAAUGAAUAAUCUGACUGAUUAUGAUGUUCUUGUACUGGAGACAUCACAGACUGCUGACUAUAAUCUGACUUAUUAUGAUGUUCUUGUACCGCAGACAUCACAGACUGCUGACUGCAGCUUCCUUGGCACAUUAUUCUUUAGCUCUUCCUGAUAACCCUUCUUUGCUUCAUCGAAUGCAAGCGAAGCCCCACUUCAUCAGCCCAGAGAGAAGAAAUCAUG